CUCCUAGCGAAGUCCCGCUAGGAAGAAAAAAUAAGGGCCG
rfam:Beet yellows virus strain BYV-4, complete genome.